rnacentral:rRNA from 1 species
UACGAAGGGGGCGAGCGUUUGUUCGGAUUUACUGGGCGUAAAGGGCGCGUAGGCGGCCCUUCAAGUCAGGCGUGAAAGCCCCGGGCUCAACCUGGGAGGUGCGCUUGGGACUGGAGGGCUGGAGUUCGGGAGAGGAGCGUGGAAUUCCCAGUGUAGAGGUGAAAUUCGUAGAUAUUGGGAAGAACACCGGUGGCGAAGGCGGCGCUCUGGACCGAGACUGACGCUGAGGCGCGAAAGCGUGGGUACGCAAACAGG